AGCGAACGCUGGCGGCAGGCUUAACACAUGCAAGUCGAACGGGCAUAGCAAUAUGUCAGUGGCAGACGGGUGAGUAACGCGUGGGAACGUACCUUUUGGUUCGGAACAACACAGGGAAACUUGUGCUAAUACCGGAUAAGCCCUUACGGGGAAAGAUUUAUCGCCGAAAGAUCGGCCCGCGUCUGAUUAGCUAGUUGGUAGGGUAAUGGCCUACCAAGGCGACGAUCAUUAGCUGGUCUGAGAGGAUGAUCAGACACAUUGGUACUGGGACACGGCCCAAAAUAUUAGGGGAGGGAGCAGUGGGGAAUAUAGGACAAUGGGGGAUGGGCUGAUCCACCCAGGACGGGUGAGUGAUGAAGGCUGUAGGGUUGUAAAGUUCUUUUGUGCGGGAAGAUAAUGACGGUACCGAAAGAAUAAGCCCCGGCUAACUUCGUG
rnacentral:rRNA from 1 species